GCGCCCAUAGCUCAAUGGAUAGAGUGUCUGGCUUCGGACCAGAAGGUUCUAGGUUCGAGUCCUAGUGGGCGCA
rnacentral:tRNA from 2 species